UUUUCUUAAAAUCUGAUUAACGUGCAAUUUCUUUUUCUUACAUAUAUGUAUAUAUAUAUAUUUACAAAGCUUAUCCACUGUUCCCUGAUAUUGCUGAGAUGACCUAGGCUGUAAAUAGCACAUGUGCAGCAGCGAUGAGGAAGUGACUAGCAAGUUACUGCUCAGCCUUCCCCUAGGAAAUAGUUCUGAAUUCAUACCAUAAAGAAAAAGUUCCAAUAAUUACAAGUUUCAACAGGUAGACGGAAACAGUAUUUAAAAUAAUUUUGUUGAUUUGUAAAAAAAUUAAAUUUUAGUUUUAAAUAAAAGUAUUUGAAUUUCA